rnacentral:rRNA from 1 species
CCUACGGGUGGCAGCAGUGAGGAAUAUUGGUCAAUGGGCGCAAGCCUGAACCAGCCAAGUCGCGUGAGGGAUGACGGUCUUCGGAUUGUAAAGUUCUGUGAUGGGGGAUGAACACAAUGACGGUACCCCAAUAGCAAGCCACGGCUAACGACGUGGCAGCAGCCGCGGUAAUACGUAGGUGGCAAGCGUUAUCCGGAAUGACUGGGCGUAAAGGGUGCGUAGGUGGUUUAGUAAGUUGGCGGUGUAAUUCCGGGGCUCAACCUCGGCGCUACAGCGAAAACUAUUAGACGAGAGGGCAGGAGGGGUAAGUGGAAUGCCUAGUGUAGCGGUGGAAUGCGUAGAUAUUAGGAGGAACAUCAGGGGCGAAGGCGACUUACUGGACUGUAACUGACACUGAGGCACGAAAGCGUGGGGAGCAAACAGGAUUAGAUACCCCUGUAGUC